GCCGUUUCAUUCCACUUGCCCAGAUCCAGCUUCCAGAAGUCAGAACGCCUCUCUCACGCAACAGGGCUCCUCCCAAUCUCCUCGAGCUCGUCGUCCCUCACCUCCGUCCAGCCACCUCCUCGUGCCGCCGCCGUCGUCCCUCAGCUCGCUCCCUUCCCCUCCAUCGCAACCUUCCUUCCCUUCCAUUAAGCAGCCACCGUGGGAACGUCAAAGCCUCCGUCGCGCACCCACGCCGCCGCUAGCUCUGUUGGUCACUCGGUUCGAAGGUGCUCCACCACUGCUCCUUGCCUUGGUCACUCGGUGUCUCUGUCUCCCCUCCAUCUCUGUUGAAGGCAUCUUCGAGCUUCCAGCUUGAUGGAGCUGUUAAGGAAGCUUUUGAUGUGGCCUACAACAAUAUAUAUGCAUUCCAUGCUGCUCAGAAGACACCUGAGAGAAUUGUUGAGAACAUGAAAGAGGAACUGCUGUAUUACCAUCAACAGCUUUGAUGCUUUCUGUUAGAGAUCCAAAAUCCUGUGAGUCACGCACUCUAUAAUCCUCGACUCAUCUGCUGCCUCCUGCUACCGUCAAUCCAAUGUGCUCGAAUAGUCACGAAUGUGUUGAUAUAGGAGUUUUGAAAUUGGGAAUCUGCCUGGGCUACGGAUGCUUUGUAUGCCAUUGUUUCUGAUAUUAGGCUUCUUGCUGAGACGGUAUCGAUUCCCAUUUCAUUCUUUUUCUUCUGGAAGUUUAUUGUGAGGUUUUAUGCCAUGGUAAUCUGAUAGAGUUUAGCUUCAAAUGGGAAAUUCCCGGAGCUAGUUCGUUUCUUAUAAAACUAUUUGGUGUUCUUGCGGUAUGUAUUCUUCUAUAUAAUGGUUACUGUUUCUACUUUUGGUUCUUGAUUUAAAAAAAAUAACAAGAAGAUGAUGAAUAUUUUGGAAUUCAAAACUUAGUUCAUGAAAGUGAGGUUUUUUGAAAGGAAAAUUUAGCUACUUUCUUUAUAGUAAUAGCAUUUUGUGUAAGGAAAUUGGAAAUAACUACGCAUUGAAUUUCAAUUCUAACUGAGGCUAUAAUGUCAUAGGAGCCUUUUAUAUUUAUAAAUUAUAAUCAUAAUCACAAGUAGGAUUAUCUAUUGUAAGACCUUGGUAAAUGUUUAUUGUGGAUGAGAGCACUGUGAAUUUAGGUUUGUUGGACAUUGCUGGUGAGUUAGUUCACUAUUUAUCAAGUUUUGUUUUAGGAGGUCUUGGUUUUUCUCGUUUUUUGAAAUAGGCCAAUAAGAUUAUAAUAGAUUAAAUGUGAUUAUUAUGCUGAAAUUAUGCCUUUUAAAUAUUUUCUUUGGUUUAGAAAAAUGUAUCCAUUUAUUUUAAAUUUGGAUGAUUGAAGAAAACAAUAAAAGUGACUUUGUAAAUUUAGGGUUUAGGGUUUUUCCCGGUAGAGUUUCAAUUUUUAUUGUGUUAUGAAUUCUCUUAAUUGGUUGUCUUUGCCGUGGGCAAGUGUUCUUUUACUUGAUAAUUGAUGAGGAUAACAUUUGAUUUAAUCAAUAACAUUUGAUUUAAUCAAUAACAAUUGAUUAAAAUUGCAUCUUAGGUUCUGCCAGAGGUGUUAACUAAAAUCUAAACCCUAAAAGCUAUGAAGUACAAUUUCACAAAGUAGUUUAGUUAUAAAUAAUCUUAAUUAGUUUAUUGUUUGCUCCUGUUAGUUGUCUAUCACUAUGUUAUUGUGCUAUAACUUUAUUGCAAUUUACUUGAUUUAGAUCUUUUUCCCCUUCACAAAAUUGAGAAAUUAUAAAUAAGCUUUAGGCAAAGUGAGUAGGUGAGUUAAGGAGAGUAGGCGAGUCUAUGGGAGUGGCUGAUAUCAUUUCUAAAAUAA